GUAUAAAGUCCCAAAUUUAAAGCCAACCAGUCUAUAGUCUAAAAGUUACAUCAAAAACCCCAAAUAAGUAAUAAAUUUUAAGUAUUAACGGAAAACAGUCUAAAAUUUACGUGUGGCCACCAUCGAGUCCUCUUACCACUUCUUUUGAAGUUUUCCCCCGCGUCCAUCUUACCACUUCUCAUUAUGUUUUCAAUCAUUUCACC
rnacentral:lncRNA from 1 species